rnacentral:rRNA from 1 species
UACGUAGGGUGCAGGCGUUAAUCGGAAUUACUGGGCGUAAAGCGUGCGCAGGCGGUUUGCUAAGACAGGUGUGAAAUCCCCGGGCUUAACCUGGGAACUGCGCUUGUUACUGGCAGGCUUGAGUGUGGCAGAGGGGGGUGGAAUUCCACGUGUAGCAGUGAAAUGCGUAGAGAUGUGGAGGAACACCGAUGGCGAAGGCGGCCCCCUGGGCUAACACUGACGCUCAUGCACGAAAGCGUGGGGAGCAAACAGG